CGAGAUUCCCAACAGGUGAGAGCAUCAUGUAUGGCGUUUGCGACAAUCAUGAAAAAUUGAGGGGGCUGGGAAGCCCUGAAUUUUGAGUGAUCCGCUUGGACUUUGAACCAUGGAGUCAUGGCUGUUAAAUUACACGUUCGACAAAUCAGGUACCCUUGGCCCUUGGAUGCAUCACCUGUAUCAAUACUUGCCAUACCAACGAAAUGUGUCCCGAGAAAAGAAGGCGAGAUUGCCUGAAAUUAAUACCAGGCGACGUUAAGUCAUAACCACGAGAAGUGGAGUUUUAUGGAACGGUUCACCUAAUCGGCGCACCACGAUUUUACUCAAUAGUAUUUUUGAAUUCGAUGCGAUAUCGAGUAGAUGUGGCCAUAGUGAUCCAUGAGCAUAAUUGUGAUUCUCGAAUGACAAUGUCUUGUUCUGAGUGUCUCUUGAUUGUUGGGCUAGCCGCUUAGGUUUAUUAAUGUGCCAUUGACACGCGGUCGAGGCGCUCGACCUCAAAUGAGACAGCUCAUAUCAGGAGAUAAACAAAGAUACCGACGCAUAUGACAGUUGCCAAUCUACGUAGUAUUCUCGUUAUCUCGGGUGUGCUGGGUAGAAUGAUGAAUCCUAUUAACGUCUUCGGCACGGGCCGUGAGCGAAAUUUCUGAUAGGAAGAGAGACUUAAAAAAGAGAGCGAAAAUUGCAAACCGCCAAAAAAGGAAAGAGCGCGUGUUUUGCAGGGAUACGCGCCCAUGACCCCGCAAACGCGUCCGCGCGCGUCAAUGUAAUCUUUCCGUAUCGAUAACCGCGUCAUGUAUUUUAUUUUGACCUAGCCCUAACUACGGAGUACAUAGCCCGCAGUAAUUCCAUGCUAAUGCAUAGGCUCCCAAGUAGAGUUCCAGCUCAGGUUCAAAGUGAAGCGAAAAUAUAAUACCUUGCGUGAAAGAUGAAACAGUUGGGGCUUGUGGUCGCGUUUCGAGCCUAUCAGGGAAUGAAUGGGUUCUCGAUUGUGGAUCAGUUCUGGGUUUAUUGGGACGAAGGUUCUAUUGUGAUGUACUCGAGACUUUUGAGUCCCUAUCGGUAUCAUGAUAAGGCUUUGGACAAGGUUUGUUGUUGCUUAUUAUGUCGAAGCUUUUGUUCUCUAUCGCUUGAACUCUAUGUUAUGUUAUUGUGUGAAAUCGCAAAAUGUCAUCGGAGAGCAGCAGCGGCAUGAUGUGAUAUCAACUCAACCCUCUGAAUCACCCAUCUCAACUUGCCAAAUCAAGUCCGUAUGUAGACACAAAACAGGCGCCAUCAACACGUACGUGAUUCGUGAAUAAUUUGCAGUCACCGCAAUAUGUAAGCACCAGCUGAUUCGACUCCACUCCACUCCGCCGCGCAUCAAACUUUGGACCUACACUGGAGUUGUAGUGAAAGAGGCGAUGUUUAGCGCACUUUGAUGACUUGAUAUUGUUCAAUGGGGUCGUAAAUUUAGGGAAUGCGGAGUUUGAGUUUGUAGAUAGGAAUGCGGACUGAAUCAUGUGGAAUUGACCUGAUGACCAACUACUAUGUAUCUAACGCUUGAUGAUCUCAAUUGGGAACACAGUUCCUUUGCCUGAAAGCAGGUAUCAUCGCUUGGCUUGUUUACGCAAUUAGAACAAUACAUGAUUGCCAGCAUACGCAAAGAGUCCAUUGACCCAAAUACACACAUCUGCAGUUGUCACUCAUAUCCACUGGGCUCGUGUGGAAGUAUGUAUCACGGACCAUAACCAUUCCGCCCGUAUUCCUGGCGUACUAUCAGGCUGCCAGUUGGUUAAAAACUCAAAACCGCCGCUCCGCAUUGGCUGAACCCACGAAAAUCAUCACGCAAACAAAACAAGAAAUUUUGGGCUCCUGUUGGAUGAACAACUUGCAUGCUGCUGCAGCACUAGACUAGCUCUUUUUUUGGCAUUUCUCCCUGUUGGGCCAAUAGGAUUUAUAGGCGUGUUCCUAUUUUUCUGAUUUGUGGAAAAUGGGUUGGCUGGUUGGGCAUUUUCUGGGGCCGGGCUGCAGUCGGCCUCGGUCGGGAUUUCGGAGUUGCGCUGAUGGUCAGACAGGUUUUUGGACGGUGUCACUGUGCUGAUGCAGGGUUGUGCAUCUUGUGCCAACUACCAAGUAAGGAUGCUUCCUGUUUCAAACUUGAGUUGAGAAUUCGGUGAGAAAGCGAGUCAUUUUGCAGAUGACGCGGGGUCACGUGUUCAACAAAUGCCCAAAUCCGGUGAUCCGGGGAAUCACCCAAUCAUAUUGCUUAGUCUUGAGACCCGCAACGAACAACCAAUAAAAUGCAUUAAAUG
rnacentral:lncRNA from 1 species